GCAAUGGUGUCUUUAGACACCACCACUUAUAUUUGAAAUUUUUUUGU
rfam:Picea glauca, whole genome shotgun sequence.